AGAUUGAACGCUGGCGGCAUGCCUUACACAUGCAAGUCGAACGGCAGCACGGGAGCAAUCCUGGUGGCGAGUGGCGAACGGGUGAGUAAUACAUCGGAACGUGCCCAAUCGUGGGGGAUAACGCAGCGAAAGCUGUGCUAAUACCGCAUAAGAUCUAUGGAUGAAAGCAGGGGAUCGCAAGACCUUGCGCGAAUGGAGCGGCCGA
rnacentral:rRNA from 1 species